AUCGCUUCUUGGCCUUUUGGCUAAGAUCAAGCGUAGCCUAAGAAGUCUUCUACUAGCAAAGAAUGCAGUACAAUGCUUUUGAAUAAGUAAUGAAUUACAGUAUCUCUCUUCAACUUCAUAAUUAUUUCAUAACUGUAUUAUUGGUUUUACGUAAU